GACGGAGGGCGCAAGCGUUGUUCGGAAUUACUGGGCGUAAAGCGCGGGCAGGUGGUUCUUUAAGUCCUUUGUGAAAGUCAAAGGCUCAACCUUUGAACGCCGAUGGAUACUGCCGGGCUAGAGUCCGGAAGAGGCGAGUGGAAUUCCUGGUGUAGCGGUGGAAUGCGCAGAUAUCAGGAGGAACACCAAUAGCGAAGGCAGCUCGCUGGGACGGUACUGACGCUGAGGCGCGAAAGCGUGGGGAGCGAACAGG
rnacentral:rRNA from 1 species